rnacentral:rRNA from 1 species
GACGAACGCUGGCGGCGUGCCUAAUACAUGCAAGUAGAACGCUGAAGGAGGAGCUUGCUUCUCUGGAUGAGUUGCGAACGGGUGAGUAACGCGUAGGUAACCUGCCUGGUAGCGGGGGAUAACUAUUGGAAACGAUAGCUAAUACCGCAUAAUAUUGACUAUUGCAUGAUAGUCAGUUGAAAGGUGCAACUGCACCACUACCAGAUGGACCUGCGUUGUAUUAGCUAGUUGGUGGGGUAACGGCUCACCAAGGCGACGAUACAUAGCCGACCUGAGAGGGGGAUCGGCCACACUGGGACUGAGACACGGCCCAGACUCCUACGGGAGGCAGCAGUAGGGAAUCUUCGGCAAUGGACGGAAGUCUGACCGAGCAACGCCGCGGGAGUGAAGAAGGUUGUCGGAUCGUAAAGCUCUGUUGUAAGAGAAGAACGAGUGUGAGAGUGGAAAGCUCACACUGUGACGGUAUCUUACCAGAAAGAGACGGCUAACUACGUG